UAACAGUGCGAAAGUGCUGCUAAUACCGGAUACCUUCACGGAACCGCAUGGUUCUGUGCAGAAAGUUUUUCGCUUCCGGAUGGGCCCGCGUCCCCAUUAGCUAGUUGGUGAGGUAACGGCUCACCAAGGCGACGAUGGGUAGCUGGUCUGAGAGGACGAUCAGCCACACUGGAACUGAGACACGGUCCAGACUCCUACGGGAGGCAGCAGUGGGGAAUCUUGCGCAAUGGGCGAAAGCCUGACGCAGCAACGCCGCGUGAACGAUGAAGGCCUUCGGGUCGUAAAGUUCUGUCAAGGGGGACGAUAAUGACGGUACCCCUGGAGGAAGCCCCGGCUAACUACGUGCCAGCAGCCGCGGUAAUACGUAGGGGGCGAGCGUUGUCCGGAAUUAUUGGGCGUAAAGGGCGUGUAGGCGGCCGAUCAAGUCAGGUGUGAAAUUCCAGGGCCCAACCCUGGACGUGCACUUGAAACUGGUUGGCUUGAGUGCAGAAGAGGAAAGUGGAAUUCCCAGUGUAGCGGUGAAAUGCGUAGAUAUUGGGAGGAACACCAGUGGCGAAGGCGACUUUCUGGUCUGUAACUGACGCUGAGGCGCGAAAGCUAGGGGAGCAAACAGGAUUAGAUACCCU
rnacentral:rRNA from 1 species